UGGCGGGACGCGGCACCCGCGGACUACGCGCGCUCCCGGGAAAUGUCCAUGACAACAAAUUCCCCUGAUAUUUUGGCUUCAGACUAUAUAAUACCUACAGAGAUGAGUCGUGUGAAAUUCUAGCAUGCCAGUAUGGUCCAAGGUCACCCUGGGUUCAGGUGUCAGUAAGAGGAUCUACUUGACGAAAUCUCCAAGGCAAGAACCUCCCAAGGAAUCUUGACUUCUCGAGGCUACAGACAAAUCUGUGCAAAGUAGCAUGGAGAGAGCCAACCACUUCAGGUGCUCUUGCCUGGGAGUGCUUGUACUGCGGAGUCUGGAGAGUUGUUCCCGGGCAGCAGAGCCAUGCUGAGGCUUGAGGGAGUACUCUGGCCACUGACUACUGGGACAGGGAGAACAGAAGAGAAGCUUAUUGCGCAGAAGAAAUUGGACCCAGAAGAGGAGCAGAGGGAGCUGCUGGGCCCAGGGGGCAGGCACGGCGCUGGAGCCAGGCUCGCCCAGGCCGGGAUGUGCAGCAGAGCGCAGAAGAAAUUCCAAAGAGUGAGAGAAGAGCUGUCCAGGGGCUUUUCAGCUGACCUUUCCCCCUCCCCCACCAUGGCAGGGGAGAGGCGGUGGCAGGUUGGCUGAACCUCCAACUGAGCAGGUUGGACUCCUGCAGCAACUCGGAGUGAGGCAGCGGCAGGCAGAGAGCCCGGACAUUCCUCUGUGUCCAGUCCGGCCCAGGACACCAGGGCAGAGGGAGCCACAGCAAGCCGGGUGGGUUGGAGUGCACCCUCACCCGGGAGCGGAGCAGAGCAGAGUGGAGAGGAGGAGCACAGCCAGCGCAACUACCACCGCCGCUCAAGAUUAUGACUUGAAGAGAGAGAGAGAGAGAGAAGUUACACUGAAGCAGGUUUUUCUGGGUAGGACUUUUAUGAAAACUAUCGGAGUAUAGAGACUGAGCCAAACCCCAGAACCUGCGACCCGGGGGAGGAGUGGACCCGACUUGGAGGAGUCCCUUGAGAACUUACUCCCCUGAGAGGGACCCCAUGUAGCAGGAAAAGGACUCAGAGCUUUAACUCCCUGUAACCCAUGGUGAAGAUCAUGGUGGAGCGGGUUGUCUCCCCACAGUCCAUGAAGGACCAUCAGGGGGUGCAGAGACCCCCCGCACCCCGAUGAAGAGAGCCUUUAGCUACACCCUGACAGUUCUUCUCCUGCAUUGAUUCAGGGGGCCGAGGGGUGGUUAAAAAGUGUGUUUAAUACUAUGUACUUUAUUACUUUUUAGUUUCUAUCCUGUUAGCAAUAAACUUUGAUAUU